rnacentral:rRNA from 1 species
CCCUUAGAUGUUCUGGGCCGCACGCGCGCUACACUGACGGAGUCAACGAGUUGUCCUGCAUCGGAAGGCGUGGGUAAUCUUUUGAAACUUCGUCGUGCUGGGGAUAGAUCUUUGCAAUUUUCGAUCUUGAACGAGGAAUUCCUAGUAAGCGUGAUUCAUCAGAUCGCGUUGAUUACGUCCCUGCCCUUUGUACACACCGCCCGUCGCUACUACCGAUUGAAUGGUUUAGUGAGGCCUCGGGACUGGCGCGCUCGAGUAGCAAUACACCUGCGCGCUGGGAACUUGGUCAAACUUGAUCAUUUAGAGGAAGUAAAAGUCGUAACA